rnacentral:rRNA from 1 species
GUCGAGAAUCUUCGGCAAUGGGCGCAAGCCUGACCGAGCGACGUCGCGUGGAGGACGAAGGCCUUCGGGUUGUAAACUCCUGUCGAGGGGGAGAAAGGUCGCGCGAGCGGCUUGAUCGAUCCCUGGAGGAAGCACGGGCUAAGUUCGUGCCAGCAGCCGCGGUAAGACGAACCGUGCGAACGUUAUUCGGAAUCACUGGGCUUAAAGCGCGUGUAGGCGGGUCGGUGCGUCGGCGCCUGAAAUCCCCCGGCUCAACCGGGGAACGCGGCCCGAAACGACCGGCCUCGAGGGACGUAGGGGGGCCUGGAACUUCCGGUGGAGCGGUGAAAUGCGUUGAGAUCGGAAGGAACGCCCGUGGCGAAAGCGAGGCCCUGGACGUCUGCUGACGCUGAGACGCGAAAGCCAGGGGAGCGAACGGG